UUCAGGAUUGCGUGAGGCAAGAGGAACUAAGAACAGUGGGAACAGGAACAUAGAGGAAACCGAUAGGUUCAUUUUCUCCUCUAGCAUUGGAGGUAGAAAUUUGCUUGUGUUUUCCCGAUGCCUCCUAUUCCUGUCGAUCUUAGGUAACUCCUUCCCCUUUCUUUCAGCU
rnacentral:pre_miRNA from 2 species